UUGGAGAGUUGUGAGGAGAUAAGUGACAUAAACUGGCAUGUUCUGAAAGAAUCACUCUGGAUGCUGUGUGGAGAAAACACUGAAAAGAAUUCUAGAGUGAAAGUUUCAUGAAUAUAAGAAGCAAGACAAGGAAGUGGCUUAUGCUUAAGGCCUUAAAGGCAACCACUGUGACAAUCCAGCCAUUCUCUGGAGAAUUCAGCAGAAAGCCAGUUGGAAGGUUUGAAAUGGAAAUUACAAGCGCAAUAUUACAGAAGUGUGGAUUUUAGUUACAAUGUCUCUAUGAGAAAGUCUAAAAGUUAAACAUAAGCAAAACAACAAAAACAUCUAAAUACCAGACACUAUCCUCAGAAAUUAGAUUUGAAAAAUGAGCUUCAUUUUCGAAGAACAUAUUGAAUUUGUUAUCUCGAUUAUGGAGGGCGACAAGUCCCACAGUCUGCCAUCUGCAGGAUGGAGAACCAGGGGGAGAAUAAUUGACUCCAUUCAAGUGUUCGCUCCUGUUUCAAUCAACUAUGGCUGAAGAGUGAGGAGACAUUUGGAAUAAAUAUGGCUUCUGGGGGCCCAUUCCUAUGGAUCAGCAGCUGGCUUCUGGAGGCCCAUUCCUGUGAAUCGUCGAUCUCAUAGAAGAUAAUAUUGUUAGAAGGCUUACCUCAUUGAUGCUGAACAUCCUAAAAAGCUUCUGCUGCUUUGAGUCACUGAAAAAGACCAAGAAACAUGAAUUUAAAAAAAAAUUUCAAAUGUUAUAAAAUAAAUAAUAUGAACUCAUUAUACCUACAAUGAAUAA
rnacentral:lncRNA from 1 species